GGCAUUAAUAUAAAAAACACGGUUUUUCCGCGUUUACACGCGGUUUUGCUGCGGCACAGCGCACGCGGUUUCCGCGUCAUAACACGGUUUCGUAAUUAAUUUUUUAUGGGUUAACAAAACCGCGUGUAAACGCGGAAUCCGCGUGUGCUGUGCCGCAGCAAAACCGCGUGUAAACGCGGAAAAACCGUGUUUUUUUAUUAAUGCC
rnacentral:miRNA from 1 species